UGUUUAAUCUGCAGCAUUGCAUCAUACUCCUGAGAUCAUCAUAUCUAGUGUUUACCUACACAUAGCUUUGGAAAAAUAUCUUGUUUUUCCCAGUCACUUCAGUUGAUCAGAAGCAUUCUAAAUCUUCUGGAGAUACAUGAUUCUUUACUGGAGAGGGAUAACAUUUGUUAUCUGACUAAAGCUUUCACAUAACUGUAGUGCAGUAGAAAAGUACAAUUUAAGAUGUGUUGGAGUAGAAGUGAUAUAAAACUGAAUUAAGUAAAACAAUCUCAAAUGUGUCAAACAUGAAAUACCUAAUCCCAGUUUUUGUCUUUAGCACUGCAUGCCUAUGAGCCGUUGUACAAAAAGGUGACACAUUCCCCCAAAGUCCAGGGCUUAGCGAAGAAGCUGGGCCUCAUCAGUCCUGUGAUACUGCAGAGCAUGUUCAUCUUUAAGCAACCAGGGAUUGGUGGAGAAGGUAAGCUGAUUGAGUUUUCUAAAUGUUAAAAUAGUUUUUCUUUACCACUGUUUCCCAUAGAUAUUUAAAGAUAUUGUAAUAUUGUAUCUCUUGCAGAAUCUGCUGUAAUAUCAAUACAUUGUGUGUUAACAAUUUAAACUGAGAUG